UAAACCAUCCUGUCUCUCUAUUCUACCCCAGAGGCGUAAGCGUUCGCGUUCUUGUUUUCCUGGCAGCAGGCUUCCGCGAUCUCCGGAACAAACGUCCUGGAUUUCGUGCCCAAGCAAGACUGCCUGGACCUUCCAGGCAGAUAGAGAAGGACCAGGCUUCGCAGCCUCUGAUCUGACAAAGGCAGGACUUUGGUAAAUGUCCAGACACCGAAGUCUGGACUAGAGUUGUUCCCCGUGGCGCAUGUUCUUGCCCAGAAGCAGCAGUUUGCAAAAAAAAAUCAGGAGAUGUCAGCGGGCAAGGAUGAAGAUGGACGAGGUGGAGAGAGAGUACAAUCCCAGGCAGCAGAAUUGUAAACAAAUGCAGGUCUGAGAAAUAGCCUGCUGACCUCUGCUAAAGUGUAUAGCAACAGGAGACAAGACUCCUGGAGGAACAGCAGCUAUUCUCAGUCUAUGGUAAUGAAAGCCACUGAGCAAAGACAAUUAAGCAAAGAAGACAGAAGGAGCCUGGGAACUUCAUGGCACUCUUGACCAGUGGUGCCAGCCCUGGAUGAUUGACCUCAGGACCUCUUGUUAAAUGACAUGUGCUAACUCCUUUCUGUUUAACCCACUGCAGUAAAAUUUUCUUUUGCAGUGAAUCAAAUUCUAACUGAUGAUAUGGCUAAUGUGUGUUAGUACCUGCUUUGGGCCAGUGGACUUCUAAGAAUUUUUAGGUACUAACUUUUUUUUAAAGGACAUAUAUAUAUUUUAAAAUUGAUUUAUUUUUUAAUUGAAGGAUAAUUGCUUUAUGUACUAACAUUUUUAAUCCACACAGUAAAUGACUUUAUGAGAUAGAUGAAAGGAGCAAGCAGCAUUAGUGUCACCUGGAAAUUUGUUAGAAAUGCAGGUUUGGGGGCCUGACCCCAGACCUCCUCAGGCAGAAUCCCUGGGAACAGGGCCUGCAGUCUGUGUUUUAACAAACCCUCCAGGUGAUUCUAGUGUCUACUGAAGUUUGACAACUUUAUAGAUAGGGUAUUUUUACUGUCCCCAUUUUACAGGUAAGUAGACUGAGCUGAAUUUAAGUCACUUGCCCAAUGUCACACAACUAGUAAGACUAACUCCUAAGUCUUUGUUUAUAGCCACUGUGUGACAUCACAUGUUAAGAAUUCCUGCUCUAGAGUAGUAGCCUUCAAAAUUUGAAAGCAUACCCCUUUGAAAAAUUAUGUACCCCUUGUACAUUUUUAGAUCAGCAUCUAAAAAUUUCAAAUCAUAAGUUCAGACAGUUGUAAAGAAUGUAAUUUCCAGUACAUUGUAAUUUGCGGCAUUUUAAAAAUAUCAUUCUUCUAAAUGAAUCUAAAUACCGUAGAGAAUAUUUGGUUAAUGGAUUUGGUUUGGUUAAUCUAUUAAAAAAUUUUUUUCUUUAACAUUUGACAUUUUA